rnacentral:rRNA from 1 species
AACGAACGCUGGCGGCAUGCCUAACACAUGCAAGUCGAACGAGACCUUCGGGUCUAGUGGCGCACGGGUGCGUAACGCGUGGGAACCUGCCCUUAGGUUCGGAAUAACUCCCCGAAAGGGGUGCUAAUACCGGAUAAUGUCUUCGGACCAAAGAUUUAUCGCCUUUGGAUGGGCCCGCGUUGGAUUAGCUAGUUGGUAGGGUAAAAGCCUACCAAGGCGACGAUCCAUAGCUGGUCUGAGAGGAUGAUCAGCCACACUGGGACUGAGACACGGCCCAGACCCCUACGGGAGGCGGCAGUGGGGAAUUUUGGACAGGGGGCGAAAGCCUGAUCCAGCAAUGCCGGGGGGGGGAUGAAGGCCUUAGGGUUGUAAAGCUCUUUUACCCGGGAUGAUAAUGCCAGGCCCGGGAAAAUAAGCCCCGGCUACCCCCGG